GAUGAACGCUGGCGGCGUGCUUAACACAUACAAGUCGAACGGAAAGGCCCAAGCUUGCUUGGGUACUCGAGUGGCGAACGGGUGAGUAACACGUGGGUGAUCUGCCCUGCACUUCGGGAUAAGCCUGGGAAACUGGGUCUAAUACCGGAUAGGACGAUGGUUUGGAUGCCAUUGUGGAAAGUUUUUUCGGUGUGGGAUGAGCUCGCGGCCUAUCAGCUUGUUGGUGGGGUAAUGGCCUACCAAGGCGUCGACGGGUAGCCGGCCUGAGAGGGUGUACGGCCACAUUGGGACGGAGAUACGGCCCAGACUCCUACGGGAGGCAGCAGUGGGGAAUAUUGCACAAUGGGCGCAAGCCUGAUGCAGCGACGCCGCGUGGGGGAUGACGGCCUUCGGGUUGUAAACUCCUUUCGCUAGGGACGAAGCGUUUUUGUGACGGUACCUGGAGAAGAAGCACCGGCUAACUACGUG
rnacentral:rRNA from 1 species